CCCAUACAUGCACACCUCUAAGUACUAGAAUUAAUGAAGAAUUUUUACAAUAUCUAAGUCACUAAGUCAUUUAUAGUGGAAGGAUGAUUACUGGCAUCGAGGGCGCCAACACCAACCACAUGGCCAUGUUACCAAGAGCUGUUGUAGGUAUGUAGGCCAGGGAGGGAAAGAGAUACAAGUAGGGGUGUAAGGGAGAGAGUGAGAAAGGGGGUAGUAAAGACACACACACAGAAGGGGGAUUGUGAACAAAGAAACCCAAAAUAAUAAAAAAAUGUGAGUCACAAAAAUUUGCAACAAAGAAAUACACGCCUUCAUUUAAAACUUUCCGAUUUAAUGUUUUUGAAUAACC